UUUGCAUCUAAAAAACGUUUUUAAUCAACGUUCGGUCUCGAAAAAUGUUUCCGAAACAUUCAACUACGUGUCCGACUUUCUGAAGUUUGUCACAGAGGGCUACACAUUGCUGUUUGCAAUGGAAAUGCUUGACCUUCCCACCCUCGAUACUGUGCCCACAAUGACCUCGGCAGAAGCAGAGGAGGCGUUGAAUUAUGUGUCAACCUGUAUUGUUGAUACGAUAUCGAGGGUGCUGUGAUGAUUGAAUGCGAAAAUGUUGCAUGCACAGAAGGUGUUUGGUUUCAUCUGGAAUGCGUGGGUUUGACAGAGGAAACAGUUCCCGGUGAAGAUGAAGUUUGGUUCUGUUCUGCCGAGUGCCGGAAUUCGAACAAGCGCUCUCACAGUGCCAGUCAUACAAUUGACAGAAAAUUUGAGUAUGUCAAGAUGCUGUUAUGGAGAGGAUUGUCCGACAUGAUUAGACGGAAUGCGGUUCGCCAGAACGAUGGGCCAAUGAUAACCCUGUACUGGAAGUGUGACUUGCCUCAAUUCAUCAAACACAAUCACACAAAGUACACUAUUCUUGGCCACAGAUUGAU